UUGAACGCUGGCGGCAUGCCUUACACAUGCAAGUCGAACGGCAGCGCGGGGCAACCUGGCGGCGAGUGGCGAACGGGUGAGUAAUAUAUCGGAACGUACCCUGGAGUGGGGGAUAACGUAGCGAAAGUUACGCUAAUACCGCAUACGAUCUAAGGAUGAAAGUGGGGGAUCGCAAGACCUCAUGCUCCUGGAGCGGCCGAUAUCUGAUUAGCUAGUUGGUGGGGUAAAGGCCUACCAAGGCAUCGAUCAGUAGCUGGUCUGAGAGGACGACCAGCCACACUGGGGCUGAGACACGGCCCAGACUCCUACGGGAGGCAGCAGUGGGGAAUUUUGGACAAUGGGCGCAAGCCUGAUCCAGCAAUGCCGCGUGAGUGAAGAAGGCCUUCGGGUUGUAAAGCUCUUUCGGCCGGGACGAAAUCGCACGGGUCAAUACCCUGUGUGGAUGACGGUACUGGAAGAAGAAGCACCGGCUAACUACGU
rnacentral:rRNA from 1 species